rnacentral:misc_RNA from 1 species
AAGUCGUAACAAGGUAUCCGUAGGUGAACCUGCGGAUGGAUCAUUAACGAGAGCCAGUCGAGCUUUGCCCGUGUGGUGAGAGGGAGUGUGUGCGUGUGGUGCGUCGUCGUGGCGCGCCAGCAUCGCAGCAGCAGCAGCAGCAGUAGACGCGAACAUGUGUGCGGCAUGAUCAGAUGAAGAGCAAAGCAAAGCAACGCAACCGAAACAACUGCUAGCAACGGAUCACUCGGCUCUC